rnacentral:rRNA from 1 species
AUUGAACGCUGGCGGCAGGCUUAACACAUGCAAGUCGAGCGGGGGAAGGUAGCUUGCUACCGGACCUAGCGGCGGACGGGUGAGUAAUGCUUAGGAAUCUGCCUAUUAGUGGGGGACAACAUCUCGAAAGGGAUGCUAAUACCGCAUACGUCCUACGGGAGAAAGCAGGGGAUCUUCGGACCUUGCGCUAAUAGAUGAGCCUAAGUCGGAUUAGCUAGUUGGUGGGGUAAAGGCCUACCAAGGCGACGAUCUGUAGCGGGUCUGAGAGGAUGAUCCGCCACACUGGGACUGAGACACGGCCCAGACUCCUACGGGAGGCAGGAGUGGGGAAUAUUGGGCAAUGGGGGGAACCCUGAUCCAGCCAUGCCGCGUGUGUGAAGAAGGCCUUAUGGUUGUAAAGCACUUUAAGCGAGGAGGAGGCUACUUGGAUUAAUACUCUAGGAUAGUGGACGUUACUCGCAGAAUAAGCACCGGCUAACUCUGUGCCAGCCGCCGCGGUAAAAC